CUCCCCCACCCUUACCGUAAAGAAGGUCUUCCACAUGUUUGCAUGGAACUUCCUGUGCUCAAGUUCUAGGCCACUGCUCAUUGUCCUCCGCUACGCACCACCGAGAAGAGCCUGGCCUCAUCCAUUUUCCUCCCACUUCCCUUCAGAUAUUGAUUAACACUCGCUUUGAAUCUCUAGUUAUAGGGUCUGAGACGAUGGAGAUCUGAUGGCUACUUUUCCAUACCAGCCCCCUCGCAUGGCAAAAUCUUCUGGUUCUUUCUACCAGUUGUGCAAACCCCAGAACUUGCUGGACUCACGGAUUCCACGCUACCCCACCUGAGCCGUGAUUCGUGUUCACGCAUCCCAGGCUGUCAGACGACGACUGACCCCAGGAUUGUUCCUGGGCAGUGGGGCGCAAAGCAGGAGUCAGAUACAACUAGGGCAUCCCCUAAUGUUCCAAUUCAUUGCCCCUUGCUACCCAGAGGCAAGCAGGGGCAAGGGAAGAGGAGGAGUACCUCCACGUACCGGUCCUCCGCCUUUUGUCUCAGGAGAAGUGGUGCACCGAGAGGCCUGAGAGAAGGGGGAGAGAAGGUGUGGCAGUUGCACCGCCACAGUUGACACAGGCACUCCAGGCUUUAGGUAACAACUGUCCAGGAAGUCAGAACACCAAACCUUCCUUCCAAAUGAGCCCAACACAGAGUUUUACUGAGCAGAGAGGGAGGAAGCAGCGUGCAAUUUGAGCCUUGCAGGUGGGCAUCCUUCUGUGCCAGAAGUUCUUUGUCCUCUUAAUAGUGAAGGGAGUGACGUGUGGAAUCAAACUCUGGAACCCACGUAAGGUUACAAAGCAGGUACGCUCAUUACGGCGCCGGGUGCGGGGGGGGGAUAUCUCCUCCUAACUCGCACACAGAGAAAAGCACUGGUUACAUACUUACAGACAUAACAUCCACAUAUUCAUUACGUUCCACAAAAAUGGGCUGGAAUUCUGAGAAACUAUUAACGUAUUGUCCCACCCUCUUGAGCACGCGUCCUAAAAAUGUGGUGGGGGUCUCUGGCGGUCAGUGGAUGAAGGCUCG
ensembl:lncRNA